AACAUGCUGGAGCAAGCUGGACAUGCUGAGCUCUGCACUCAAGGCUUCCUUGCCUGCAUCAGACCUGAGCUGCAGACAGCUUUAACUUGAAGGAUCUUACAAAUUGUACUUAUUUCAUUGGUCUAGCUAUUUUCAAAUCUGAAAUGAGACUUUUCUAGUGAGGGGGCCAGAAAAGCUAUGGGACUUGCCCAUGAUCCAAGAGGAAAAAUACACAGAGAGAAGGCUUAGAACGACUGUCUGUGAAACAAUACAGUUGCUUCAUGAGCAUAAAUCUUGUUCAUUUAACAAAGAUUGUCCCACAUUAGUCACACAGACACACACUUCUAUUAUAAAAGAUCAAAAGGCAUUAUAGUGAAAAUGUAAUAAUACAUAAAAAUGGGGGCUUAGGCCAGACAUGCAGACCACUGCUUUAAGAAACUGAAUGUAAUGAAGAAACUGAACAUGGCUUUUCUUUCUCUUUCCCCUACCCCAUCAUUUCCUGUUCUCUAUUGCCUCAUUUAUUUCUAUCAUUUCCAGCACUUGGGGACGUUUUUAGUUUAGUUUGAUUACAUUCAGUCCCACGGUGAGGCUAUGUAGAGAUAAAUAUAUCUGUAAGUCAGAAAUAUCGCAAACCCGAAGACGAAUAAUCGCAUUGCCUUGUCAUGUUGCUCUUAGUCAGAAAGUAGUGUCUGAAAACUAAAGAAUUACUCUUAAUAUACAGUUCUCUUCUAGGGACGGUAUUUGAUGUUAGAUCUUUGGUAACGUUGUUUUGUGGGAAAGGAUCUUUAUCUUAUGUAUCACCUUCAAAGGAGAAUAAAUAAGAAUGAGCAAGUUGAAGAAAACUCAAGCAAAAUGAAAGGGGCAAUUAUACCCUUGGUGAUUCUUAAUUGUCCCAAUUAACGAAGUCAGUUUCUGGAGUCUGAGCUGAAAAUGAAGCUUACAAUUCACCCUCAAUACAUGAAAUUUGCCCAGAAGCCUUUAUUCUUCUUACAGCGAUUCUGCUGUGAAUUCGUACGGAAUGGGCUCCAGCAGCUCAGGCUACUUUCCACUGGAUCUCACAAAGUGUGCUUCUCGAAGCAGGCUGGGGCUUCCCUUGAACCCAGAUUCCCACUUAUGUACCUAAAGGAGCAAGUCCAUGUUUUCCAAAAGGCCUGAAGAACAUAUAGCAGGAACUGAUUCAGAAUCCCAUAUCACAUUUUGUUAUUACUUUUGCCUGGUCUCCUGCUGUCUGGAACAGUUUUUCAGUCUUCCUUCAUUUUCAAGAGUGUGAAAGGAUCCCAAGACCAAAAGUCUGGGAACUGCUGGUUUACAGUCACAAUACUGACUGCUCAAAAUGACUUUUUAAAGAAGAAAGCCUUAAAAACCCUUGAGUGAAUGGUUGGUAUUUACAGACAGAAACAAGAGACCCAGCCUGAAUCUGUUGAAUGAACGAAAGGGGAAAUGCCCUAAGGAGUCAGAUGGAAGAAGUUUUUCUGGGAAGAGCAGAACACAGGAGGUGGGGUGCAGACCUCCUGGAUCACCAGCAGAAGGAAAAGAGCAGCGAGACGUUAAAGUGAUUGAGACAAAAAUGGAAGUAAAACAGCUUAAGGCUUUCUGAGAUCGAGUUCCUAGCAGUGUCAUCAGCAGAUGGUUUCUUCUGAAGUUCAGGGGAAGAGAAGAUGCUCGAAGAACUCUCCAGGGACUGAGUGGGUGGUACAGAGCUAGUGCUGUAGAUGCCAUGUAUACAGGCAAAUUCCCCAAUGAGUGUUUUCCAAUAUCAAGUUUAACUGGCAUUUAAGAUAUAUGCCAAAGGUAGGUAAAUUAUUUUGGCCUGUGCUUAUAGGUUUAUUUCCCUGGAUGAAGCUUUCUGUCUCUGUCCUAGUGCACUGUAGCGAUGCAGGGUCUUUCCAUACAAUACAUUAAAAGCUGCAUCCCAUUUUAAAUAUAUUAUAGAAACCCUGAUCGUACAAUACAUACAAGAUUUUUAAGAUCAGCCUUCAGUCGAUUUUUUUGCUUUAUUUUUGUUCUGGAGGUCAAAAUGAGUGGUUAACUGUCUAAGUUGAUUGUAGAGAAAGUUACUACUCAUUCUAAACGUAGGUUUUUAGAAAAAUGUACUUGGCAGUUGCUUCCAUUGGCUUUUUCCAACUUACAUGGGAAUCAAGAUUCAGAACUGGUACACCAAUGGGAAGAGCCUGGAAAAUAGACUAUUGAUCAAGAUGAAUCUGGUCCAGAUACUUUAAGACCUUUUCAGUGUGUUUGAAAGAUUAUAAGUUUGAACCAGCAGAAACUUCAAUGCUGUUUUUUCACAAGUCAAUGUGUAGUGUACUGUGUUAUUCUUUUUUUUCCUGUAAUAUCUUAAUAAUAUUCCUGGCUGUAAGAAAAAGUUAACACUAUACCUAUGUUUUGACUUACUUUAUAGAAGACCCAAACAAUAUUUAACAAAAGGAUUUUUCUCAAAUACUGUUUUGAAAUCACUAUAUUAGACACUAUCUUAAAUUUAUUUCUCAAUAUGCUUCUUUUUGAAACUUCCACAUUUUGGUGUUCUUUUCAGCAUCACUCAUUUUCUUUCAUAAUAAAGAUACCCAAUAACAAUAUCAUAAUAAAGAUUUGAUAACAAAUCUCCAGUUUUUGAGUGUUACAUUUCAUAUCUACAUGCUUACAGAGAAUUUAGUAUGAAUAUUCCCUGGCCUUAGUUCCUCUAAGCCUAGGAUACUUGUAGUCAUUUGGCAAAUAAUUUAAUCCAUGGCAAACAUGAGUCUUAAUACAAAAAUUAUUGAGUAGGCAAAAAAUAAUUGAACAUAUUUUGGACUGAUUACCAGUGUAUUAAAAAAGUAGAGGUUUAAGGAUGGGAAUAAUAAGUUUUUUUGUUUUUACUUAAAUGUAUAUAAAAGGAGUGAAAAUACAGUAGCCUAUAGUACUUAAGAGUGUGGGUAUAUUUUCAGCACUUAAUAAUUACUAGUUGAAUUGCAUAAUAUGGGACUAUAACUGAUAUGGUUUGGCUCUGUGUCCCCACCCAAAUCUCAUGUUGAAUUAUAAUUUCCAAUAUUGGAGGAGGUACCUAGUGGGAGGUGACUGGAUCAUUGGGGGAAAUUUCCCCCUUGCUGUCCUCAUGAUAGUGAGUGAGUUCUCACAAGAUCUGAUGGUUUAAAAGUGUGCGGCAUUUCCCCCUUUGCUCUUUCUCUCUCCUGCUGGCCAUGAGAAUAAGUGCUUGCUUCCCGUUCACCUUCUGCCAUGCUUGUGUUUCCUGAGGCUUCCCAGCCAUGCUUCUUGUUCAAGCUGCAGAACUGUGAGUCAAUUAAACCUCAUUUCUUCAUAAAUUACCCAGUCUCAGCUCUUUAUGGGAGUGUGAGAAUGGACUAAUAAAAUAUCUCUAGAAUUAUGUUUUUGGAGAUAAUUUAAAGAUAAACAAAUAUUGGAAACCUCAUUUGAUCACAUAAAGAACAGUAAAUGGAAGUUCUACUUUUUCUCCAGGGCCUUUCUCACGCUUAUGCUGGGAUUAUUCACCCAGAUAUCCUGAAAUAAGACAUCCAAUUAAGGUACCUGCUAUCUCAUGUAACACAGAAGAAAGUUGAGCAUAGAGGUUAAACAUUACCUAAUAUUGUUGGAAAAGCUUCGAAGCAUUCAUUUUCAAAGCAGCUAAUGUAAACCAUGAUAAUCACUGGUAGCACUAUGCCAUUUUAAAUACUUCAAUAUUUUGUAGUUAUUAGAUUCUAAGUAAGUAUAAAAUGUAGUGAAUAAAAAUUUUUUUUGCCUGAACAGUGUUAGACAAUAUAAAUGAAUGAGUUUUUAUUCUGUUUAAUAUUUUCAAGCCAAUAAAAACUUUACUAAAGUA